UACGUAGGGUGCGAGCGUUGUCCGGAAUUAUUGGGCGUAAAGGGCUCGUAGGCGGUUUGUCGCGUCGGGAGUGAAAACCUUGGGCUUAACUCAGGGCUUGCUUUCGAUACGGGCAGACUAGAGGUAUGCAGGGGAGAACGGAAUUCCUGGUGUAGCGGUGAAAUGCGCAGAUAUCAGGAGGGACACCGGUGGCGAAGGCGGUUCUCUGGGCAUGAUCUGACGCUGAGGAGCGAAAGUGUGGGGAGCGAACAGG
rnacentral:rRNA from 1 species